rnacentral:rRNA from 1 species
AUGAGGUUGCUACGAGUGCUAGAUUUGGAAGGUGAGUGGGAUCUAGUUGAUCAUCACCUUCAGCACAUUGGGAAGCUUGUACAUCUUAGAUAUCUUUCUGUAAGGGGACAUGUUGGUAUACAUCACCUGCCAAAUUCGUUGGGGAACCUGAGACAACUCCAGACACUAGAUAUUUCUGGCACGACGAUAACAAAGCUACCAAGGGCCAUCAUCAAACUUGUGAAGAUGCAAGGCAUUCUUGCUAGUGGCAGACAAUGGACUUCAGAUGGUGUUGAAAUGCCAAGCGGGAUUUGGAAACUGAAGGCCCUGCACACACUACGUGUUGUGGAUGUAUCAGUGGCGAAGACUGUUCUACAAGAUAUAAAAAUGCUCACCCGAUUGCGCAAGUUAGGAGUGACAGGCAUCAGCAAGAGAAAUAGUCAAGAGUUGUGUUCAGCAAUUGCUCUUCUCAGCAGCCUGGAGUCAUUGUCACUGUGCUCAGAAGGAGAGACAGGUUUAUCGGGCUGCUUGGAUGGGCUGUCCUCACCUCCAGAAAACCUGCAGAGCCUCAAGUUGAUAGGCAACCUGGUUGAGCUGCCGGAGUGGAUCCAAGGCCUCAAAAAUCUCGUGAAGCUGAAGCUAGAGGGGUCGGGGAUAUCGGAGGUUGAUGCGACCAUGCAAGUCCUUGGGAAUCUACCAAACCUGGCCACCCUACGUCUAUUGGAUUACUCGUUCGUUGGUGAAGAGGUCAGUUUCAGUUUCUGUCGGGAGUCAUUCCCGAGGCUGAAGGUGUUGCAGCUGCAUAUGAUAGAAAACAUCAAGUCUGUGGGAUUUGAAGAAGGAGCAGCCCCUAAGCUUGAGUUGCUGCAGUAUUGGGGUAGGUACGAUACCCCCACUGCUGGGUUGUUCCGUGGGUUAGCAUAUCUCCCAAGUCUCAAGGAAUUUAUGCUGCAUGAGAGGAACUGGAGGAAUACCGAGUUGGUGGAGGACCUGCGAGGCCAGCUGGCAGAGAAUCAAAACGGGCCCGUUCUGAAGAGUUGGAAGUGGCUAGCUGUAUUCAACUCCCUUUUCGUUUAUCUUAAUAUUCAUGUAUGUACGUACGUAUUAUUAAGUCCCUCCCUUUUAUGUAUGUAG